UUUUUCUGAUUAAUUUCUUGGUGUCACAUUUCAUACCAUCACGUACUUAUAUUUUCUCUUGAGUCUUCUAACCAUUUCUUUAUUUCAGGGGCUCAGCAGCUUUGAAAUACUUUCAACCCAGGUGCUUUAACUUCCCAAUUUUUAUCCUCAACCAAGUUUUCCUUUGACAGGUUCCCUGCUAUUAGUUCUUAGCAUGACUAAAAUUAGGAUUUCUUAACUUAUGACCAAUGAGAUGAACUGCUGCUAUAGACUGGGAAUUCAUCAGCUGACAAAAGAAUGAAAUAAUGAAAAAAAGAAAACGAUUUCAGUAUCAUGGGAGUAAAUAUGGGCCACUAACAUGAUGAAUCCAGAGACAAGGAUGUAUAGAAGCGAUUUCCAGCAGUGAAAGUAUUAUAGCCAAGAAGCAAAUGACACAUCCCGUCUAAGCGUGUAUGAAAGUGGCAGAGGCAUUGAAUGGAGACACAGAUAAUGAGCUAGUGAUGCUUGGCCACAUGAAGUGCGGCGGAAGCAAGUCACAGCAGGAACACACAGGAACAGAAGUCAGGAGCCCCGGCAGAUCAGGACGGAGUGGCUGCUGAGAUAUGAGUGCUGCCGAUACACCAAAAAUAGAGAUACACCACAGCAUAGAGGGAUGAGGCAGCACGAGCUACAGGAGAGCAGGGACAGAAGAGCAGCACCAGUGUCCGUGCUCCUGGGCAGGCCUUCUGCCAGCCAAACAGCAACGUGUGCACAUGGCCGUGCAGAGACAUCUCCCUAAUGGCCUCUUCAGUGAGCACCAGCACAGUACUUGGCAAACAGAGAAAGAACAGAAGAAACGGGCAGAGUCCAGCUUCUGUAUCUAACAGAGCUGUGCACUCCAGCUGUGAACACGUGCUUUUCACUUCAUGCUAUUUGUUUUCUAUCACCUUGUUGUCAGGAUACUUUACUAACUGGCGAGCACUCUACUCAUGUUGCUGUAACAAGGAAUGUCUAUGAGAACUUUUCGAAGAGGAAACUCAAAAACAUUUUCUCCUCUUUCCCAACCAAAAAAAGACUUCUGCCUUACAUGCUGUUCCACACAUUCUACAGGCAGAGUUCAUCUCAAGUUUCAGCAUCAAGGCAGACACUAUGUAGGAAAGUACGCAGCAAUCCACAAACUGCAAAACACUAUGGGAAAACAGUGACGUGUUCUGCAAUGAUGCAUUCAGGUUCCUGUUCACUGUAAAAGGCACUGCAAUGAUUUUUCUUUUAAUUCAACAGAUGAUACUUUGUGAAAAUUAAUUCUCAGCAACCGUAUCACAUAAUACACAUUACCAACUUUUGAAA